rnacentral:sRNA from 1 species
UGCCUAAACUUUGAUGAAAAUCAAAGCAUGGUAAUAAACCUACAGAAGAAACGAGAGCUCCUCGUCUAUUAACCUUCUGUAGGUCAUAAAUCGAAAGGUUUAUGGAUUUUUUCGAAA